rnacentral:rRNA from 1 species
GGGCCCGCACAAGCGGUGGAGUAUGUGGUUUAAUUCGAUGCAACGCGAAGAACCUUACCAGGGUUUGACAUCCUGCGAAUCUCUUGGAAACGAGAGAGUGCCUUCGGGAACGCAGUGACAGGUGGUGCAUGGCUGUCGUCAGCUCGUGUCGUGAGAUGUUGGGUUAAGUCCCGCAACGAGCGCAACCCACGUCUUUAGUUGCCAGCGGUUCGGCCGGGGACUCUAGAGAAACUGCCAGCGUAAGCUGUGAGGAAGGUGGGGAUGACGUCAAAUCAUCACGGCCCUUACAUCCUGGGCCACACACGUGCUACAAUGGUAGGGACAACAGGUUGCCAACCCGCGAGGGUGAGCC